rnacentral:rRNA from 1 species
ACGUCUCAGUUCGGAUUGCAGGCUGCAACUCGCCUGCAUGAAGUCGGAAUUGCUAGUAAUCGCGGAUCAGCACGCCGCGGUGAAUACGUUCCCGGGCCUUGUACACACCGCCCGUCACACCAUGAGAGCCGGGAACACCCGAAGUCCGUAGUCUAACCAUUAAGGAGGACGCGGCCGAAGGUGGGUUUGGUAAUUGGGGUGAAGUCGUAACAAGGUAGC